rnacentral:rRNA from 1 species
AGUGAACGCUGGCGGUAGGCCUAACACAUGCAAGUCGAACGGCAGCACAGUAAGAGCUUGCUCUUACGGGUGGCGAGUGGCGGACGGGUGAGGAAUACAUCGGAAUCUACUUUUUCGUGGGGGAUAACGUAGGGAAACUUACGCUAAUACCGCAUACGACCUACGGGUGAAAGCAGGGGUUUUUGGAACUUUGGGGGAUUGAUGGAGCGAUGUCGGAUUAGCUAGUUGGGGGGGUAAAGGCCCACCAAGGCGACGAUCCGUAGCUGGUCUGAGAGGAUGAUCAGCCACACUGGAACUGAGACACGGUCCAGACUCCUACGGGAGGCAGCAGUGGGGAAUAUUGGACAAUGGGCGCAAGCCUGAUCCAGCCAUACCGCGUGGGUGAAGAAGGCCUUCGGGUUGUAAAGCCCUUUUGUUGGGAAAGAAAAGCAGCAGGUUAAUACCCCGCUGUUCUGACGGUACCCAAAGAAUAAGCACCGGCUAACUUCGUG